rnacentral:rRNA from 1 species
CACGUGGAUAACCUGCCCUCAGGUCUGGCAUAACCCCGGGAAACUGGGGAUAAUUCCGGAUAACGCAUAUAUGCUGGAAUGCUUUAUGCGUCAAAGGUCCUCCGCCUGAGGAUGGGUCUGCGGCCUAUCAGGUAGUAGCGGGUGUAAUGUACCUGCUAGCCGACGACGGGUACGGGUUGUGAGAGCAAGAGCCCGGAGAUGGAUUCUGAGACAUGAAUCCAGGCCCUACGGGGCGCAGCAGGCGCGAAAACUUUACAAUGCGGGAAACCGUGAUAAGGGGACACCGAGUGCCAGCAACAUUUGCUGGCUGUCCAGGUGUGUAAACUACACCUGUUAGCAAGGGCCGGGCAAGACCGGUGCCAGCCGCCGCGGUAACACCGGCGGCCCGAGUGGUGAUCGUUAUUAUUGGGUCUAAAGGGUCCGUAGCCGGUUUAGUCAGUCCUCCGGGAAAUCUGUCAGCUCAACUGAUAGGCUAUCGGGGGAUACUGCUAGACUUGGAACCGGGAGAGGUAAGAGGUACUACAGGGGUAGGAGUGAAAUCUUGUAAUCCCUGUGGGACCACCUGUGGCGAAGGCGUCUUACCAGAACGGGUUCGACGGUGAGGGACGAAAGCUGGGGGCACGAACCGGAUUAGAUACCCGGGUAGUCCCAGCCGUAAACGAUGCUCGCUAGGUGUCAUGCAUGGUGCGACCGUGUAUGGUGCCGUAGGGAAGCCGUGAAGCGAGCCACCUGGGAAGUACGGCCGCAAGGCUGAAACUUAAAGGAAUUGGCGGGGGAGCAC